rnacentral:snRNA from 1 species
UUGCUUCAGCAGCACAUAUACUAGAAUUGGAAUGAUACAGAGAUUAGCAUGGCCCCUGGACAAGGAUUACACACAAAUUUGUGAAGUGUUCCAUAUUUUU